AGACUCAGAAAUAACAGUUCUUACACCUUGCUUGAUACCUGCUUGUUGGAAAAGAGACCAUGACAAGUUUGCCAUGUCUUUGUUGAGCUGCAGCGUACCAAAAUGAACUCCACCGUCAUGUUCUCCAUCGAUGGCUUCGACUGUGCCAAGUAAUAAAGUGAAAUUAUUGCUUUCCAGGUUUCCUAUGCAAUGUCACUUCUAGUGGCCAGAAUUAGAUUUCACUUCCUCUGCAGCAACAUGGUGCUGCUGACAGGCAUUUAGCUUUGCUUAGCCAUCUACAUGUGAUCACUUUAUGAUUAUUUUGGCUAUUUUGAUUUCAUAUACCUGAUUUCAACUUCCAAUAUGUAGUGGUUUUUUUGUUAUUAAAGUUCACCUCUUUGAUCUUUGUUUAUUUCUUGUAUAGAUCAAUAAAAGAUGAUUCUGAA